rnacentral:rRNA from 1 species
CCUACGGGAGGCAGCAGUGGGGAAUAUUGCACAAUGGGGGAAACCCUGAUGCAGCAACGCCGCGUGAGUGAAGAAGUAUUUCGGUAUGUAAAGCUCUAUCAGCAGGGAAGAGAAUGACGGUAUCUGACUACGAAGCCCCGGCUAACUACGUGCCAGCAGCCGCGGUAAUACGGAGGGGGCGAGCGUUAGCCGGAUUUACUGGGUGUAAAGGGAGCGUAGGCGGUUCUGCAAGUCUGAAGUGAAAGCCCGGGGCUUAACCUCGGAACGGCUUUGGAAACUGUGGAACUGGAGUGCUGGAGAGGCAAGCGGAAUUCCUAGUGUAGCGGUGAAAUGCGUAGAUAUUAGGAGGAACACCAGUGGCGAAGGCGGCUUGCUGGACAGAAACUGACGUUGAGGCUCGAAAGCGUGGGGAGCAAACAGGAUUAGAUACCCGGGUAGUC